CAUUAGCUUACUAGAUCAUCAACAAUGAUUUGAUUAUUGUUAUCUUACAGAAUACGUAUGAGUUGUUAGCAGCAAAGCUAAUUGGUGAUUGUUCACCUGAGAGACGGCAGGGAGUUACAUCGAUCUGGUGGAAUAUAAAAGGGCCAGAGCUUGAUUAAAAGUUACACCUAUUAAGUUACAAAAGAGAACAGGAUGAGAACGCUAUUUAGCUUAGUACGCAAAGAGGACAAGGGCAGAGAGCACAGGUGCCCCCCACACACAGAGAACAGGAUGAGAACGCUAUUUGGCUUAGUACGCAAAGAGGACAUGGGCACAGAGCACAGGUGCCCCCCACACACAGAGAACAGGAUGAGAACGCUAUUUGGCUUAGUACGCAAAGAGGACAUGGGCAGAGAGUACAGGUGCCCCCUACACACAGAGAACAGGAUGAGAACGCUAUUUGGCUUAGUACGCAA
ensembl:lncRNA